rnacentral:tRNA from 1 species
CGGGUGUAGCUCAGGGGUAGAGCGCAACCUUGCCAAGGUUGAAGUCGUGGGUUCAAAUCCCACCACCC